AGGUUACGAUGUCGAUUUAGAGGUUGUGGUCUUGAACCGUGGCUUCUGGAGCUAACGCGUUAAAUCGACCGCCUGGGGAGUACGGCCGCAAGGUUAAAACUCAAAUGAAUUGACGGGGGCCCGCACAAGCGGUGGAGCAUGUGGUUUAAUUCGAUGCAACGCGAAGAACCUUACCUACUCUUGACAUCCAGCGAAUCCUUUAGAGAUAGAGGAGUGCCUUCGGGAACGCUGAGACAGGUGCUGCAUGGCUGUCGUCAGCUCGUGUUGUGAAAUGUUGGGUUAAGUCCCCGCAACGAAAA
rnacentral:rRNA from 1 species